GACAGAGGGUGGCAAACGUUGUUCGGAAUUACUGGGCGUAAAGCGUGUGUAGGCGGCCCUGCAAGUCGGAUGUGAAAGCCCCGGGCUCAACCCGGGAAGUGCACCCGAUACUGCAGGGCUCGAGUACCGGAGAGGUUGGUGGAAUUCUCGGUGUAGAGGUGAAAUUCGUAGAUAUCGAGAGGAACACCGGUGGCGAAGGCGGCCAACUGGACGAGUACUGACGCUGAGACGCGAAAGCGUGGGGAGCGAACAGG
rnacentral:rRNA from 1 species